rnacentral:rRNA from 1 species
GACGAACGCUGGCGGCGUGCUUAACACAUGCAAGUCGAACGGAACGGCCCUGCUUCUGUGGGGUGCUAGAGUGGCGAACGGGUGAGUAACACGUGCGUAACCUGCCCAUGACUUUGGGAUAACUUCAGGAAACUGGGGACAAUACCGGAUAGGAGCUCCUGCUGCAUGGUGAGGGUUGGAAAGUUUCGGCGGUUGGGGAUGGAGUCGUGGCUACUCAGCUUGUUGGUGGGGUAGUGGCUUACCAAGGCUUUGACGGGUAGCCGGCCUGAGAGGGUGACAGGCCACAUUGGGACUGAGAUACGGCCCAGACGCCUACGGGAGGCAGCGGUGGGGAAUAUAGCGCAAUGGGCGGAGGCCGUAUGGAGCAACGCCGCGUGGGGGAUGACGGCCUUCGGGUUGUAAACCGCGUUCGCCUGUGACGAAGCGUGAGUGACGGUAAUGGGUAAAGAAGCACGGGCUAACUACGU